rnacentral:lncRNA from 1 species
UUUUUUAAAUAUUUCCUGCAACAGGUGGUGAACCAAUGUGUUGGUCAAGAAUCCACUAGAAGUUUAAGAUUAUUAGCCUGAGAGUUAGAGUUUUAUUUUAUUUCUUCUUCUUUUUUUUUUUUUUUAAGUGAGUAGCUGGAUAGCACUGAGACAAGUCACUUGAGACUAGUCAUGGACCCAAGCACAGGAAUUGAAACAAACUGCUGGCAGACUCUGAAGUCUCCUGCUGUGGGGAGUGCAGGCUGCUCUGAAUCAGAGAGCUGUAGAAUUGAAGUUGCCUACUUCUUGGGGCAGAAGUUGAUUGAAUUUAUAAAAUUGGGAUCAUUUGCUUUUAGGAUAGAUUUAUAUACAGAUUUUGUCUGAAUCAUGAGGGGAAUUUUGCCUGUGGUUUGGAACUAGGAUAGGGAAAAUUAGUCAUUGACUUCAAAUAGAGAGAGCAGUGAACAGGUAUUAAUAAAAUAAUGUCUGUGGCUCUAGGCAGAGAGCCAAGCAGAUAGAUAGUAUAACAAGAUGGCUGCUGUAGGCAGAGAGUGGAACAGGAAGAUGGUAUAAGGAUAUAUUGCUCCAUCUAAUACGUCUUAACAGGAUACUCAAAUUCUGUCUAACGUGCACUCCACGGGAAUUAUGGGUUAUUAUCCUGCAUGGCAAAAUAGAAGAGGCCUAAGAAUAGGCACAUACAGUAUUUUAGUCAUUUGUUUUGGAUUGUUUUAAUUUGAACUAGGAUAGGGAAUAUUAGUCUCAGACUCCAGAGUAGAGAGUGCAGUGAUAAUCAUUGCCUGCUUUGAACAGGUAUUAAUUAUCUAUGUCUGUGGCUCCAGGUAGAGAGUUCAACAGACAGAUAUUAUACAGGUAUUAAUAAAAUAUGUCUGUGGCUCUGGGCAGAGAGCCAAAUGGAAAGAUAGUAUAGAUUGCUUAACUAGCUACAGAAAGCUCAUAUUCUGCUAACGUGGGCUCCACGGGAAUUUUGAGUGUCUCUUUCUGCUUGGCAAGAUAGGAAAGGCCUAGUAUAGGCACAUAUAGUAUCUUAGUUUACUUCAUUUGUCUUAUAUUGUUUUAGUUUUCAAAAUGGGUGUGAUGUUGAGUUCUGUGGUUAUAUUAUACCUCUAGGAGAAAGAUCAAAAUAAUUUUUUUUCUGGUUACUGGCUUAAGGAUAUGCUGAUUUGAGAAAAAGGUUUUGUCUUUGUGUUUUCGGAAAAGGUGAUUAACGUAUUUACACCUUCCAGAGUUAUGUGGAUCAGAUUUGAUAGAGGGAGACCCCCUGAAGAACUAGAUUCCAGGGAAUCAAACAAAAAGGUUAUCUUGAUGAUACUAAAAUUUUGCUUUGAGAUUUAUACAUUACAGAAUAUACAGCCUUAGUGAGUCUCGUUGUUAAAUAUGCUGAACUGACCUGUUUGAACUCCUGAUGCCUUGGACUUUCAGCUAGAUCCAGUCAGGACACAGACAUCAGAGACUAACACAAUCAUUGGUGUGACCUUCUUAAAAGGCUGACCAACUCCCCCAUUUCCCCUACCUCACCCCUUUAAAAAUAUCUCAACACCCAUAUUCAUUUUGAAGACGUUAUGAAGAAUUGUUGCCCCAGCUCCCUGGAGGGGGUUACUAUAGGUUGUCUUUCCAGGGAAUAUAGAAAUGAUCAUAACUGGGACAGGGAGGAAUAGCUAGAAUUGAUUACAUAGCCAUAAUCUCAUUUUGUAGAAAUCUUUUUGUUACUAGGUUGAAGUCAUAGUUUCUUCUUUUGGUACAGAAUUUACUUUGAUGCAAAAAUCAAGGUUUUCAUUGGUAUAAAUUUCUUCUAUUGAUACAAAAAAUUUAAAAGUACAGGGCUUAGACCCAGUCCUUCUGUAAGUGUUAUUGUAAACUGAUCUGAGAUGAUGCCUUUGAGUUAAGGACGGAAUAGCAAAUUCAUGGCUCUGAGUUUAUUGUUAGGGUGUUUUCAGAGACUUAGAAUUAGAAAUAGCUGAGAGUAGUUAACAGAGAACAGUCCAGAUUACUUUAUGUAGAUAGUUGGUUUUCAAAAAUGUCAGAAAUCCACAGAAUAUGACAUUUAAUGUUAUUUAUUCACUUGUUGUUGAGACUAGUCUGCUCCCGACAGCUUUUCCUGUCUUGGAUUCAAAGAAGAAAUUCAGCAUCUAUGAGUUACUCCAGUUGUUGUGAGAUAGUCACUAGACAAGAAUAGUCUUUUUUCGUCUACAGACAUAAUACUGUCCAAAGAAAGGACACAAUUACAGGUUUAGGACAGCUUAAUUCUGCCAAGACAGAGUAGGUUAGUCCUUAAUAUCCUGUUUCUCUAGGUCUGUCAGAUGAUCCUGGGCCAGAAGGCUGAAGACAUGCUCCAUCUUCCUGACUUAUUGUGGCUGUAUAGGUAGGCACUGUCUCUACAGUUUUUUUCAGUUCUGGAAGCUGUGUUAGGCUUUCUAUAUAUUUUCAGUUAAUGUUGGUCAUUCUCGGAUAUCUGAUGGGGUUGAAAAAUUACUUAUAGUUUCAUAGCCAACCUAGGCUAUUUACUUUGAGAUAAUAGAUCUGAGAGGAUAAUUUUCAGAUGGUAUACCAUUUAAAGCCAGGAUAUGAGUCAGGUGUAGAAUGAUAAGUCUUUUAAUUUAGGGUAAAUUCUAUCUUAAUGAAAAAGAUGAUGGGCUGGAUGUCAGGUCUCUCUUAUGCCUUAUAAAUUGCAAAAUGGUAAUAGCUGUGUUCUAUAUUGAGAGAAAGGUUUUGUUUUUAUUAGAACAGAAAGGGGGAAAUGUUGCUGAUGGCUCUGUGCUGCUUGCUCUCCUGGGAGAGGCUGUCUGGAAUGAGGAAUGAGUCACAUACUUGGGUGGCUUUUUGUAAACCAAUCCCCUAAUGAAUAAAGGAGCCAAUCGCUGGGCGAGAAGAGAGGAAGCAGGGGAAAGUUAGGUCCCUUUGGGAACUGGACAGCAGAGGGGUAAGAGGGUAAGGGGUAGCUGCUAGAGUUUCGCAGUAUCAUGGCAGAUCCGCAAGGAUUCACCACCGGAGGAAUCAGAUUUUAAUAAGACUUACAAGAUUAGGUUUUAGUGGUUGUGUCUAGAGAUUGAGUUACCAUUGUUUCUGGGG